UACUCGAGUGGCGAACGGGUGAGUAACACGUGGGUGAUCUCCCCUGCACUCUGGGAUAAGCCUGGGAAACUGGGUCUAAUACCGGAUAGGACCAUGCUUUAGUGUGUGUGGUGGAAAGUUUUUUCGGUGUAGGAUGAGCCCGCGGCCUAUCAGCUUGUUGGUGGGGUAAUGGCCUACCAAGGCGGCGACGGGUAGCCGGACUGAGAGGUUGGUCGGCCACAUUGGGACUGAGAUACGGCCCAG
rnacentral:rRNA from 1 species